rnacentral:rRNA from 1 species
GUAACAAGGUUUCCGUAGGUGAACCUGCGGAAGGAUCAUUAUUGAAGCUUGAAGACCUAGGUUGUCGCUGGCCCUCUGGGGCAAUGUGCACACCUAUGGUUGACAAACCAUCCUUCACACCCCUGUGCACCUUUGCGUGGGUUUUUUGUUUGCAAGGGGUUAGGUUUCAGCACCUGACCCCUUUGCUUUCAGGACUCGCGUCUUCUCUACAAACACCUUUGCAUGUCUUGAGAAUGUAAUUUUAAUGCAAUGCAAUGCAUCCAAUACAACUUUCAACAAUGGAUCUCUUGGCUCUCGCAUCGAUGAAGAACGCAGCGAAAUGCGAUAAGUAAUGUGAAUUGCAGAAUUCAGUGAAUCAUCGAAUCUUUGAACGCACCUUGCGCCCCUUGGUAUUCCGAGGGGCACGCCUGUUUGAGUGUCGUGAAAUUCUCAACCCCUUACCCUUUCUUGUGAAGGAUUAUGGGCUUGGAUUUGGAGGCUUUGCUGGUUCCUCUGCGGGUCAGCUCCUCUCAAAGGUAUUAGCAGGACCCCUUUCGUAGGGCCUCGGUGUGAUAAUUGUCUACGCCGGUUUGGCCUCUGCACCAGUGGACCUGCUUCUAACCGUCUCGUAUAGGGACAGAUUUAAAUCAAACCUUGACCUCAGAUCAGGCGGGACUACCC